UUCGGUACGAGAGUACCGAAUGUAAGCGUGCGGGUAGCUACUCCAACGGCGAGCCGCAUAAGUCCUGUAUGCGCCUGGGCCAUACUAACGGCAGGGCGCCGAUUACACAAUACAAGGAG
ncrna:unclassified sequences FTHFS RNA